rnacentral:rRNA from 1 species
UGGGGAAUUUUGGACAAUGGGCGAAAGCCUGAUCCAGCCAUGCCGCGUGCAGGAUGAAGGCCUUCGGGUUGUAAACUGCUUUUGUACGGAACGAAAAGACUCUGGUUAAUACCUGGGGUCCAUGACGGUACCGUAAGAAUAAGCACCGGCUAACUACGUGCCAGCAGCCGCGGUAAUACGUAGGGUGCAAGCGUUAAUCGGAAUUACUGGGCGUAAAGCGUGCGCAGGCGGUUAUAUAAGACAGAUGUGAAAUCCCCGGGCUCAACCUGGGAACUGCAUUUGUGACUGUAUAGCUAGAGUACGGCAGAGGGGGAUGGAAUUCCGCGUGUAGCAGUGAAAUGCGUAGAUAUGCGGAGGAACACCGAUGGCGAAGGCAAUCCCCUGGCCUGUACUGACGCUCAUGCACGAAAAGCGUGGGGAGCAAACAGGAUUAGAUACCCUGGUAGUCCACGCCCUAAACGAUGUCAACUAGUUGUUGGGUCUUCACUGACUCAGUAACGAAGCUAAACGCGUGAAGUUGACCGCCUGGGGGAGUACGGCCGCAAGGUUGAAACUCAAAUUGAAUUGACGGGGGUCAUAGCU